rnacentral:rRNA from 1 species
AUUGAACGCUGGCGGCAGGCCUAACACAUGCAAGUCGAGCACGAAAGUCUUCGGAUGAGUAAAGCGGCGAACGGGUGAGUAAUGCAUGGGAAUCUGCCUGGUAGUGGGGGACAACGUCUCGAAAGGGACGCUAAUACCGCAUACGCCCUACGGGGGAAAGGGGGGGAUCUUCGGACCUCUCGCUAUCAGAUGAGCCCAUGCCGGAUUAGCUAGUUGGGGGGGUAAAGGCCCACCAAGGCGACGAUCCGUAGCUGGUCUGAGAGGAUGAUCAGCCACACUGGAACUGAGACACGGUCCAGACUCCUACGGGAGGCAGCAGUGGGGAAUAUUGGACAAUGGGGGCAACCCUGAUCCAGCCAUGCCGCGUGUGUGAAGAAGGCCUUAGGGUUGUAAAGCACUUUCAGUGGGGAGAAAGGUGAUUCACCUAAUACGUGAGUCAAUUGAUGCUACCCACAGAAGAAGCACCGGCUAACUCCGUGCCAGCAGCCGCAGUAA